rnacentral:rRNA from 1 species
CGUAGGGUGCGAGCGUUAAUCGGAAUUACUGGGCGUAAAGCGUGCGCAGGCGGUUUAGUAAGACAGGCGUGAAAUCCCCGGGCUCAACCUGGGAACUGCGCUUGUGACUGCUAAGCUAGAGUACGGCAGAGGGGGGUGGAAUUCCACGUGUAGCAGUGAAAUGCGUAGAGAUGUGGAGGAACACCAAUGGCGAAGGCAGCCCCCUGGGUCGAUACUGACGCUCAUGCACGAAAGCGUGGGCAGCAAACAGGAUUAGAUACCCUGGUAGUCCACGCCCUAAACGAUGUCAACUAGGUGUUGGGAGGGUAAAACCUUUUAGUACCGGAGCUAACGCGUGAAGUUGACCGCCUGGGGAGUACGGCCGCAAGGUUA